rnacentral:rRNA from 1 species
GAAUGCUGACAUAAGUAACGAUAAAGCGGGUGAAAAGCCCGCUCGCCGGAAGACCAAGGGUUCCUGUCCAACGUUAAUCGGGGCAGGGUGAGUCGACCCCUAAGGCGAGGCCGAAAGGCGUAGUCGAUGGGAAACAGGUUAAUAUUCCUGUACUUGGUGUUACUGCGAAGGGGGGACGGAGAAGGCUAUGUUGGCCGGGCGACGGUUGUCCCGGUUUAAGCGUGUAGGCUGGUUUUCCAGGCAAAUCCGGAAAACCAAGGCUGAGGCGUGAUGACGAGGCACUACGGUGCUGAAGCGACAAAUGCCCUGCUUCCAGGAAAAGCCUCUAAGCAUCAGGUAACAUCAAAUCGUACCCCAAACCGACACAGGUGGUCAGGUAGAGAAUACCAAGGCGCUUGAGAGAACUCGGGUGAAGGAACUAGGCAAAAUGGUGCCGUAACUUCGGGAGAAGGCACGCUGAUAUGUAGGUGAAGCGACUUGCUCGUGGAGCUGAAAUCAGUCGAAGAUACCAGCUGGCUGCAACUGUUUAUUAAAAACACAGCACUGUGCAAACACGAAAGUGGACGUAUACGGUGUGACGCCUGCCCGGUGCCGGAAGGUUAAUUGAUGGGGUUAGCGGUAACGCGAAGCUCUUGAUCGAAGCCCCGGUAAACGGCGGCCGUAACUAUAACGGUCCUAAGGUAGCGAAAUUCCUUGUCGGGUAAGUUCCGACCUGCACGAAUGGCGUAAUGAUGGCCAGGCUGUCUCCACCCGAGACUCAGUGAAAUUGAACUCGCUGUGAAGAUGCAGUGUACCCGCGGCAAGACGGAAAGACCCCGUGAACCUUUACUAUAGCUUGACACUGAACAUUGAGCCUUGAUGUGUAGGAUAGGUGGGAGGCUUUGAAGUGUGGACGCCAGUCUGCAUGGAGCCGACCUUGAAAUACCACCCUUUAAUGUUUGAUGUUCUAACGUGGGCCCCUAAUCGGGGUUGCGGACAGUGUCUGGUGGGUAGUUUGACUGGGGCGGUCUCCUCCUAAAGAGUAACGGAGGAGCACGAAGGUUGGCUAAUCCUGGUCGGACAUCAGGAGGUUAGUGCAAUGGCAUAAGCCAGCUUGACUGCGAGCGUGACGGCGCGAGCAGGUGCGAAAGCAGGUCAUAGUGAUCCGGUGGUUCUGAAUGGAAGGGCCAUCGCUCAACGGAUAAAAGGUACUCCGGGGAUAACAGGCUGAUACCGCCCAAGAGUUCAUAUCGACGGCGGUGUUUGGCACCUCGAUGUCGGCUCAUCACAUCCUGGGGCUGAAGUAGGUCCCAAGGGUAUGGCUGUUCGCCAUUUAAAGUGGUACGCGAGCUGGGUUUAGAACGUCGUGAGACAGUUCGGUCCCUAUCUGCCGUGGGCGCUGGAGAACUGAGGGGGGCUGCUCCUAGUACGAGAGGACCGGAGUGGACGCAUCACUGGUGUUCGGGUUGUCAUGCCAAUGGCACUGCCCGGUAGCUAAAUGCGGAAGAGAUAAGUGCUGAAAGCAUCUAAGCACGAAACUUGCCCCGAGAUGAGUUCUCCCUGAGACUUAGAGUCUCCUGAAGGAACGUUGAAGACGACGACGUUGAUAGGCCGGGUGUGUAAGCGCAGCGAUGCGUUGAGCUAAC